rnacentral:lncRNA from 1 species
GUGAGUCAAGAUGUAAGAACUCUCCGCUCCUGCUCCAGCACCACGUCUGCCUGCACACAGCCAUGUCACACCAUGAUGAUAAUGGACUAAACCACUGAAAAUAAUUCUAGAACCCUGACAACAUGGAGUUGCUCCUUAACUAAAAGAGCAGUGACAAGUGGGGGACAGAAUGUCGGGUGCCAUGACAGAGUCAACAGGAAACAAGAAAGCUGAUUAGCUAGAAGUGGUCUGGAGUGUUUGCAAAGAGGUUUGUCCACGGAUUAUGUGUUAUAUGAUGGGAUUUUCCCUUCAAUACAUCACAUCUCCAGAUACAGCACUGAUUAGAAGUGAUGGCAAACAACCUUGUCCUUGACCUUGGGGAAAAGGCAUUAUAGAUGCCACUUUUAGAUGGAGAAUCACAUGGAUGGCUUUCAAACACUAAGUCAUAAGAAUAUUUGCUACAAACUCCCCCUUGACUCUCAAAAGCAGCUUUUCUUUUCCCAACAAAUGGCACAGUUGUCCUUUCCAGAUUCUUCUGUUUUACAUAAUGACCGGAGUUCCAUGAACUAGGCCAAUCGGGAUUUGCUAUUCUGGGUCCACUGCCAGCAGAGGAGUCAGAGGCCUUGCUGGCAUUUGGGAGUGGACUAGAAAUGUAGGACUUUAAAGGACCUCUUUGCAAAUGAACUGCAGAAAGCAGCAAGUCAUAAAUCCUCCCAGGACUCAGCUCUUCUUGGACAGCUUUAAAUCCCUAGGAAAAUCUCAGCAUUUGGCCCCUGGAGAGGCUAUUUAUCUUUUUCUUGCCCCAUUGACUUUUACAUUGAACACUGUAGCAUCUGAUCUUCCACAAAAUGAAAGUUCCUGGAGGUUUAAAGCUAAA